rnacentral:rRNA from 1 species
GGAGUGGUAGCGGAGCGUUCCGUAAGCCUGCGAAGGGAUACCUGUGAGGGGUCCUGGAGGUAUCGGAAGUGAGAAUGCUGACAUGAGUAGCGAUAAAGAGGGUGAGAGGCCCUCUCGCCGAAAGUCCAAGGGUUCCUGCGCAAUGCUAAUCUGCGCAGGGUUAGCCGGCCCCUAAGUCGAGGCAGAAAUGCGUAGACGAUGGGAACACUGUUAAUAUUCAGUGGCCUGGUGGUAGUGACGGAUCUGUAGAGUGGUUUCCCCUUAUUGGAUUGGGGAGGCUGUGAGCAGGUUCCAGGAAAUAGCUCCACCGACAUAGACCGUACCCCAAACCGACACAGGUGGACAGGUAGAGUAUACCAAGGCGCUUGAGAGAACGAUGUUGAAGGAACUAGGCAAAAUGCUCCCGUAACUUCGGAAUAAGGGAGACCUCGCUUUGGGCAACCAGAACGAGGUGGCACAGACUAGGGGGUAGCGACUGUUUACUAAAAACACAGGGCUCUGCGAAGUCGCAAGACGACGUAUAGGGUCUGACGCCUGCCCGGUGCCGGAAGGUUAAAAGGAGGGGU